AGAGUUUGAUCCUGGCUCAGGAUGAACGCCAUCGACAGGCUUAACACAUGCAAGUCGAGGGGCAGCGGGGGCGUAGCAAUAUGCCUGCCGGCGACCGGCGCACGGGUGAGUAACACGUAUGUAACCUGCCCUAUGCAGGGGGAUAACCCGGAGAAAUCCGGCCUAAUACCGCGUAACACCUUAGGGGAGCAUUCUCUUGAGGUUAAAGGAGAGAUCCGGCAUAGGAUGGACAUGCGUCGCAUUAGGUAGACGGCGGGGUAACGGCCCACCGUGCCGACGAUGCGUAGGGGUUCUGAGAGGAAGGCCCCCCACACUGGUACUGAGACACGGACCAGACUCCUACGGGAGGCAGCAGUGAGGAAUAUUGGUCAAUGGCCGAGAGGCUGAACCAGCCAAGUCGCGUGAGGGAAGAAUGUCCUAAGGAUUGUAAACCUCUUUUGUCGGGGAGCAAAAAGGCUCUGCGGAGUCGUAUUGAGAGUACCCGAAGAAAAAGCAUCGGCUAACUCCGUGCCAGCAGCCGCGGUAAUACGGAGGAUGCGAGCGUUAUCCGGAUUUAUUGGGUUUAAAGGGUGCGCAGGCGGCGUGUCAAGCAAGCGGUAAAAUAGCGGGGCUCAACCCCGUCGAGCCGUUUGAACUGGCGCGCUUGAGUUCAGGCGAGGUAGGCGGAAUUCGUGGUGUAGCGGUGAAAUGCAUAGAUAUCACGAAGAACUCCGAUUGCGAAGGCAGCUUACCAGUCUGCGACUGACGCUCAGGCACGAAAGUGUGGGUAUCGAACAGGAUUAGAUACCCUGGUAGUCCACACAGUAAACGAUGAAGCGCUAGGUGUCCGGGUCGCAUGAGACUUGGGUGCCCGAGCGAAAGCGUUAAGCGCUCCACCUGGGGAGUACGCCGGCAACGGUGAAACUCAAAGGAAUUGACGGGGGCCCGCACAAGCGGAGGAACAUGUGGUUUAAUUCGAUGAUACGCGAGGAACCUUACCCGGGCUCAAACGACUCAGGAAUAUAUUGGAAACGAUGUAGCCAGCAAUGGUCUGAGUCGAGGUGCUGCAUGGUUGUCGUCAGCUCGUGCCGUGAGGUGUCGGCUUAAGUGCCAUAACGAGCGCAACCCCUACCGCCAGUUGCCAACGGGUAAAGCCGGGAACUCUGGCGGGACUGCCGGCGCAAGCUGUGAGGAAGGCGGGGAUGACGUCAAAUCAGCACGGCCCUUACGUCCGGGGCGACACACGUGUUACAAUGGCAGGUACAGCGGGAAGCCACCUGGUGACAGGGAGCGGAACCCGAAAGCCUGUCUCAGUUCGGAUUGGAGUCUGCAACUCGACUCCAUGAAGCUGGAUUCGCUAGUAAUCGCGCAUCAGCCAUGGCGCGGUGAAUACGUUCCCGGGCCUUGCACACAGCGCCCGUCA
rnacentral:rRNA from 1 species